UUUCCUACGGGGGGCAGCAGUGGGGAAUAUUGGGCAAUGGGCGCAAGCCUGACCCAGCAACGCCGCGUGAAGGAAGAAGGCUUUCGGGUUGUAAACUUCUUUUAAGAGGGAAGAGUAGAAGACGGUACCUCUUGAAUAAGCCACGGCUAACUACGUGCCAGCAGCCGCGGUAAUACGUAGGUGGCAAGCGUUGUCCAGAUUUACUGGGUGUAAAGGGCGUGUAGGCGGGAGUGCAAGUCAGAUGUGAAAACUAUGGGCUCAACCCAUAGCCUGCAUUUGAAACUGUACUUCUUGAGUGGUGGAGG
rnacentral:rRNA from 1 species